rnacentral:RNase_P_RNA from 1 species
CCAGACGGCUGGAUGGCCGCCUUUCGUGCCUUCGGGCGCGGGGGGAGGAAAGUCCGGGCUCCACGGAAACACGGUGCCGGGUAACGCCCGGCGGGGGUGACCCCAGGGAAAGUGCCACAGAAAGCAAACCGCCUUUUGUUCGCAAAGGGUAAGGGUGAAAGGGUGCGGUAAGAGCGCACCGCGCCCCCGGCAACGGGGGUGGCAAGGUAAACCCCACCGGGAGCAAGACCGAGUAGGGACGGUACGCCGGUCUUUUUUCUUCGGAAAUUGGGCCGGCAGGCGGGUUUUCGCGCUGCCGUCCGGGUGUGUCGCGCGAGGCGUCCGGUAACGGGCGCCCCAGAUGAAUGGUCAUCCAUCGCCCCUGAUUAUUUGGGGGCGGGGACAGAACCCGGCUUACAGGCCGUCUGGCUAA